rnacentral:rRNA from 1 species
CCUACGGGUGGCAGCAGUGGGGAAUAUUGCACAAUGGGCGAAAGCCUGAAGCAGCAACGCCGCGUGAGCGAUGAAGGCCUUCGGGGCGUAAAACUCUGUCCUCAAGGAAGAUAAUGACGGUACGUGAGGGGGAAGCCCCGGCUAACUACGUGCCAGCAGCCGCGGUAAUACGUAGGGGGCGGGCGUUAUCCGGAGUUACUGGGCGUAAAGGGUGCGUAGGUGGUUUCUUAAGUCAGAGGUGAAAGGCUACGGCUCAACCGUAGUAAGCCUUUGAAACUGGGAAACUUGAGUGCAGGAGAGGAGAGUGGAAUGCCUAGUGUAGCGGUGAAAUGCGUAGAUAUUAGGAGGAACACCAGUUGCGAAGGCGGCGCUCUGGACUGUAACUGACACUGAGGCACGAAGGCGUGGGGAGCAAACAGGAUUAGAUACCCGGGUAGUC